CUAGAAAAAGAGAAGCAAAGAAGCAAAGAUUACCUGGACAUGUUCAGAAUGGUUUGCUUUUUUUCACUGUAAUCUUCCAUCAAAUAAAAGAGCAAUCAACAGGACUAGAGGCUAUUCUGGACUUCAUCCAAGGAAAUGAAACUACCCUUCAAAACCUUGUCUGUAGUAAAGCAAUCAUGGGGCCCAUCUGAUAUCUCUUCCCAGAGGAGCACA